rnacentral:rRNA from 1 species
CCUACGGGUGGCAGCAGUGAGGAAUAUUGGUCAAUGGCCGGAAGGCUGAACCAGCCAAGCCGCGUGAAGGAAGAAGGCCCUCGGGUUGUAAACUUCUUUUGUCAGGGACGAAACAAAUGACGGUACCUGACGAAUAAGCCACGGCUAACUACGUGCCAGCAGCCGCGGUAAUACGUAGGUGGCAAGCGUUAUCCGGAUUUACUGGGUGUAAAGGGCGUGUAGGCGGGAGAGCAAGUCAGAUGUGAAAAUCCAGGGCUCAACCCUGGAACUGCAUUUGAAACUGUUUUUCUUGAGUGAUGGAGAGGUAGGCGGAAUGCCGGGUGUAGCGGUGAAAUGCGUAGAUAUACGGAGGAACACCAGUGGCGAAGGCAGCCUGCUGGACAUUAACUGACGCUGAGGCGCGAAAGCGUGGGUAGCAAACAGGAUUAAAUACCCGAGUAGUC